rnacentral:tRNA from 1 species
GGGGGUGUAGCUCAGUUGGUAGAGUGCAGAGUGCUUGCCUCCCAUGCACAAGGCUCUGGGUUCAAUCCCCAGCACCACAA